GGGGGUGACUGGCUUCGACAGGGAAAUCGGUGUGCGUUUGCGCGCAGCAAAGCUGUAGUAACUUUUCAAACUGCUACAAAAACCCAAGUGCGAACAAAGUAGCACGUGCAAUUUUGUCACCUAUCCAGAUGGCAGACUUGCAGUUCGCUUACGCGUUAGCCUAAGCGACCGUCCGCGAGCUUGAUACUUGGUUAGGGCUCUCCGGGCGUCAAAUUUUCCAAGCACUGACAAACAGUGUCCACUAGUUUGUCUAAGACAAAGGACUAGGGUACGUAUGGUUCUGUGUACCUCAUACAUACGCACUCGAAAUCAGAACUCACGUUCUGCCGAGAUACUCUACGCUUCGUAGAAACAUUCACACAUCUUUCUCUACACCGGGGUUCAAUUCCCCGCACCUCCACAA
rnacentral:tmRNA from 1 species